rnacentral:rRNA from 1 species
GAUGAACGCUGGCGGCGUGCCUAAUACAUGCAAGUCGAGCGAACAGACGAGGAGCUUGCUCCUCUGACGUUAGCGGCGGACGGGUGAGUAACACGUGGAUAACCUACCUAUAAGACUGGGAUAACUUCGGGAAACCGGAGCUAAUACCGGAUAAUAUAUUGAACCGCAUGGUUCAAUAGUGAAAGACGGUUUUGCUGUCACUUAUAGAUGGAUCCGCGCCGCAUUAGCUAGUUGGUAAGGUAACGGCUUACCAAGGCAACGAUGCGUAGCCGACCUGAGAGGGGGAUCGGCCACACUGGCACUGAGACACGGUCCAGACACCUACGGGAAGCAGCUGUAGGGAAUCUUCCGCAAUGUGCGAAAGCCUGACAGAGCAACGCCGCGUGAGUGAUGAAGGUCUUCGGAUCUUAAAACUCUGUUAUUAGGGACGAACAAAUGUGUAAGUAACUAUGCACGUCUUGACGGUACCUAAUCAGAAAGCCACGGCUAGCUACGUG